rnacentral:tRNA from 2 species
GCGCUUGUAGCUUAAUGGAUAGAGCAUCUGACUACGGAUCAGAAGGUUGGGGGUUCGAGUCCCUCCAAGCGCGCCA